rnacentral:rRNA from 1 species
UACGUAGGGGGCUAGCGUUGUCCGGAAUCAUUGGGCGUAAAGCGCGUGUAGGCGGCCCGGUAAGUCCGCUGUGAAAGUCCAGGGCUCAACCCCGAGACGUCGGUGGAAACCACCUGGCUAGAGUCCGGAAGAGGAGACUGGAAUUCCCGGUGUAGCGGUGGAAUGCGCAGAUAUCGGGAGGAACACCCGUGGCGAAGGCGGGUCUCUGGGACGGUACUGACGCUGAGACGCGAAAGCGUGGGGAGCGAACAGG